rnacentral:rRNA from 1 species
CCUACGGGUGGCUGCAGUGGGGAAUAUUGGACAAUGGGCGCAAGCCUGAUCCAGCAAUGCCGCGUGUGUGAAGAAGGCCUGCGGGUUGUAAAGCCCUUUGAGUGGGGAAGAAGGCCUGGGGGUUAAUAGCUUCUGGGAUUGACGUUACCCACAGAACAAGCACCGGCUAACUCCGUGCCAGCAGCCGCGGUAAUACGGAGGGUGCGAGCGUUGAUCGGAAUUACUGGACGUAGAUGACGCAUAGGCAUGUGAAAGCCCUGGGCUUAACCUGGGAACUGCAUUGGAUACUGUUUGACUGGAGUGUGGUAGAGGGGUGUGGAAUUUCCGGUGUAGCAGUGAAAUGCGUAGAGAUCGGAAGGAACACCAGUGGCGAAGGCGGCACCCUGGACCGACACUGACGCUGAGGUGCGAAAGCGUGGGGAGCAAACAGGAUUAGAUACCCCUGUAGUC